rnacentral:rRNA from 1 species
UGGGGAAUAUUGCACAAUGGGCGCAAGCCUGAUGCAGCCAUGCCGCGUGUGUGAAGAAGGCCUUCGGGUUGUAAAGCACUUUCAGCGAGGAGGAAGGUGGUGAGCUUAAUACGCUCAUCAAUUGACGUUACUCGCAGAAGAAGCACCGGCUAACUCCGUGCCAGCAGCCGCGGUAAUACGGAGGGUGCAAGCGUUAAUCGGAAUUACUGGGCGUAAAGCGCACGCAGGCGGUUUGUUAAGUCAGAUGUGAAAUCCCCGGGCUCAACCUGGGAACUGCAUUUGAAACUGGCAAGCUAGAGUCUCGUAGAGGGGGGUAGAAAUUUCCAGGUGUAGCGGUGAAAUGCGUAGAGAUCUGGAGGAAUACCGGUGGCGAAGGCGGCCCCCUGGACGAAGACUGACGCUCAGGUGCGAAAAGCGUGGGGCAGCAAACAGGAUUAGAUACCCUGGUAGUCCAGCGCUGUAAACGAUGUCGAUUUGGAGGUUGUGCCCUUGAGGCGUGGCUUCCGGAGCUAACGCGUUAAAUCGACCGCCUGGGGAGCACGGCCGCAAGGUUAAAACUCAAAUGAAUUGACGGGUCAUAGCUG